rnacentral:miRNA from 1 species
UGGAUUGUUAUACGGUU